rnacentral:rRNA from 1 species
GGACUACCGGGGUUUCUAAUCCUGUUUGCUCCCCACGCUUUCGCAUCUCAGCGUCAGUGUCGCGCCAGGUGGCCGCCUUCGCCACCGGGGUUCCUCCUGAUCUCUACGGAUUUCACUCCUACACCAGGAAUUCCGCCACCCUCUCACGAACUCAAGCCUUCCAGUUUCAAAAGCAAUUCCAGGGGUGAGCCCUGGGAUUUCACUUCUGACUUAAAAAGCCGCCUACAUGCGCUUUACGCCCAGUAAUUCCGAUUAACGCUUGCACCCUCCGUAUUACCGCGGCGGCUGGCAC